rnacentral:tRNA from 1 species
UUAACUAAAACCAAAAAGAGGUAAAUUAUUGUUAAUAAUUUUAUUGAAAAUUUAUAAAUUCUAGUUGAA